rnacentral:rRNA from 1 species
UGGGCCUACGGGAGGCAGCAGUGGGGAAUAUUGCACAAUGGGGGAAACCCUGAUGCAGCCAAGUCGCGUGAGGGAAGACGGUCCUAUGGAUUGUAAACCUCUUUUGUCGGGGAGCAAAAAGGCCUCGUGAGGCCACAAGUGAGAGUACCCGAAGAAAAAGCAUCGGCUAACUCCGUGCCAGCAGCCGCGGUAAUACGGAGGAUGCGAGCGUUAUCCGGAUUUAUUGGGUUUAAAGGGUGCGUAGGCGGACUGGAAAGUCAGCGGGAAAAUCGAGAGGCUCAACCUCUUUCCGCCGUUGAAACUGU